CCUGGUUAUCAAAAACAUGGCCUAUUGAGGUAUAAUUUUAGGUCUAGCCUGCCCUAUGAAAUUUAAAUGGCCGCGGUACUUUGACCGUGCAAAGGUAGCAUAAUAAUUAGUUUUUUAAUUGAAAGCUGGUAUGAAUGGCUGAAUGAAAAAAUAACUGUCUCUUUUUAAUUUUUUUUAAAAUUUUAUUUUUGAGUAAAAAAGCUUAAAUAAUGAAAAAAGACGAGAAGACCCUGUAGAGUUUAAUAAUUUAUUUUAUUUUUAUUUUUUUUAGGAUUUAAUUUAUUGAAUAUUUUAAUUUAUUUGAUUGGGGCGAUUGAAAAAUUUAAAAAACUUUUUUUAGGAAAAUACAUUGAUUUAUGAACUAAUGAUCCAAUAUUUUUGAUUAUAAGAAUAAAUUACCUUAGGGAUAACAGCGUAA
rnacentral:rRNA from 1 species